GGGGAAUAUUGCACAAUGGGCGCAAGCCUGAUGCAGCGACGCCGCGUGGGGGAUGACGGCCUUCGGGUUGUAAACCUCUUUCAGCAUCGACGAAGCGCAAGUGACGGUAGAUGCAGAAGAAGCACCGGCCAACUACGUGCCAGCAGCCGCGGUAAUACGUAGGGUGCGAGCGUUGUCCGGAAUUACUGGGCGUAAAGAGCUCGUAGGUGGUUUGUCGCGUUGUCCGUGAAAACUCACAGCUCAACUGUGGGCGUGCGGGCGAUACGGGCAGACUAGAGUACUGCAGGGGAGACUGGAAUUCCUGGUGUAGCGGUGGAAUGCGCAGAUAUCAGGAGGAACACCGGUGGCGAAGGCGGGUCUCUGGGCAGUAACUGACGCUGAGGAGCGAAAGCGUGGGGAGCGAAC
rnacentral:rRNA from 1 species